GAUGAACGCUGGCGGCGUGCCUAAUACAUGCCAGUAGAACGCUGAAGGAAGGAGCUUGCUCUUUCCGGAUGAGUUGCGAACGGGUGAGUAACGCGUAGGUAACCUGCCUGGUAGCGGGGGAUAACUAUUGGAAACGAUAGCUAAUACCGCAUAACAGUAGAUGUUGCAUGAUAUCUACUUAAAAGGUGUAAUUGCACCACUACCAGAUGGACCUGCGUUGUAUUAGCUAGUUGGUGAGGUAACGGCUCACCAAGGCGACGAUACAUAGCCGACCUGAGAGGGUGAUCGGCCACACUGGGACUGAGACACGGCCCAGACUCCUACGGGAGGCAGCAGUAGGGAAUCUUCGGCAAUGGACGGAAGUCUGACCGAGCAACGCCGCGUGAGUGAAGAAGGUUUUCGGAUCGUAAAGCUCUGUUGUAAGAGAAGAACGAGUGUGAGAGUGGAAAGUUCACACUGUGACGGUAUCUUACCAGAAAGGGACGGCUAACUACGUG
rnacentral:rRNA from 1 species